UAAGCGGAGGAAAAGAAACUAACAAGGAUUCCCCUAGUAACUGUGAGUGAAGCGGGAAAAGCUCAAAUUUAAAAUCUGGUGGUCUUUGGCCGUCCGAGUUGUAAUUUAGAGAAGCGUCUUNCGCGCUGGACCGUGCACAAGUCUCCUGGAAUGGAGCGUCAUAGAGGGUGAGAAUCCCGUCUUUGGCACGGACACACCAGGGCUUUUGUGAUGCGCUCUCGAAGAGUCGAGUUGUUUGGGAAUGCAGCUCAAAAUGGGUGGUGAACUCCAUCUAAAGCUAAAUAUUGGCGAGAGACCGAUAGCGAACAAGUACCGUGAGGGAAAGAUGAAAAGCACUUUGGAAAGAGAGUGAAACAGUACGUGAAAUCGUUGAAAGGGAAACGCUUGAAGUCAGUCGCGUCGACCGAGACUCAGCCUUGCCUUGGCUUGGUGUACUUCUCGGCUGACGGGUCGGCAUCAAUUUUGCCCCUUGGAUAAUGGUGAGGGAAAUGUGACACCUUUACGGUGUGUUAUAGUCUCUUGUCGCAUGCAAGGGUCGGGAUUGAGGAACUCAGCACGCGCCCUUGGGCGUCGGGGCUUUUGCCCACGAUACGUGCUUAGGAUGUUGGCAUAAUGGCUUUAAACGACC
rnacentral:rRNA from 1 species